rnacentral:rRNA from 1 species
UGGGGAAUAUUGGACAAUGGGCGCAAGCCUGAUCCAGCCAUGCCGCGUGAGUGAUGAAGGCCCUAGGGUUGUAAAGCUCUUUCACCGGUGAAGAUAAUGACGGUAACCGGAGAAGAAGCCCCGGCUAACUUCGUGCCAGCAGCCGCGGUAAUACGAAGGGGGCUAGCGUUGUUCGGAUUUACUGGGCGUAAAGCGCACGUAGGCGGACUAUUAAGUCAGGGGUGAAAUCCCGGGGCUCAACCCCGGAACUGCCUUUGAUCCUGGUAGUCUUGAGUUCGAGAGAGGUGAGUGGAAUUCCGGGUGUAGAGGUGAAAUUCGUAGAUAUUCGGAGGAACACCAGUGGCGAAGGCGGCUCACUGGCUCGAUACUGACGCUGAGGUGCGAAAGCGUGGGGAGCAAACAGG